GUCUACAGCCAUGCCAUCCUGAACACGCCUGAUCUCAUCUGAUCUUGGAAGCUAAGCAGGGUCGAGACUGGUUAGUACCUGGAUGGGAAGAGUAUGCAAAAUAUACCUGCCCGCAGUUGGAC
ensembl:rRNA 5S_rRNA 5S ribosomal RNA